GACGAACCGAGCGAACGUUGUUCGGAAUCACUGGGCUUAAAGGGCGCGUAGGCGGGCUGUCAAGUCUGGGGUGAAAUCCCGCGGCUCAACCGUGGAACUGCCUCAGAUACUGACGGCCUCGAGGGAGGUAGGGGCGAGCGGAACUCUCAGUGGAGCGGUGAAAUGCGUUGAUAUUGGGAGGAACUCCGGUGGCGAAAGCGGCUCGCUGGGCCUUUUCUGACGCUGAUGCGCGAAAGCUAGGGGAGCAAACGGG
rnacentral:rRNA from 1 species